rnacentral:rRNA from 1 species
AGGGCACCACCAGGAGUGGAGCCUGCGGCUUAAUUUGACUCAACACGGGAAAUCUCACCAGGCCCGGACACCGGAAGGAUUGACAGAUUGAGAGCUCUUUCUUGAUUCGGUGGGUGGUGGUGCAUGGCCGUUCUUAGUUGGUGGAGCGAUUUGUCUGGUUAAUUCCGAUAACGAACGAGACUCUGGCCUACUAACUAGACGUCAGAUCCUUUAUGGGUCUUGUCGUAGCUUCUUAGAGGGACGGGCGGCGUUUAGCCGCACGAGAAUGAGCAAUAACAGGUCUGUGAUGCCCUUAGAUGUUCUGGGCUGCACGCGCGCUACACUGAAGAAAUCAGCGUGUGUUCCCUAUUCGAAAGGAUUGGGAAACCCGUUGAACCUUCUUCGUGAUGGGGAUUGGGGAUUGCAAUUAUUCCCCAUGAACGAGGAAUUCCCAGUAGGCGCGAGUCAUAAGCUUGCGUCGAUUACGUCCCUGCCCUUUGUACACACCGCCCGUCGCUACUACCGAUUGAAUGAUUUAGU